rnacentral:rRNA from 1 species
AUACGGAGGGGGCUAGCGUUGUUCGGAAUUACUGGGCGUAAAGCGCAUGUAGGUGGUGUGGCAAGUUAGAGGUGAAAGGCCUGGGCUCAACCUGGGAACUGCCUUUAAUACUGUCACGCUAGAGUUCGGGAGAGGGUAGCGGAAUUCCAAGUGUAGAGGUGAAAUUCGUAGAUAUUUGGAAGAACACCGGUGGCGAAGGCGGCUACCUGGACCGACACUGACACUGAGAUGCGAAAGCGUGGGGAGCGAACAGGAUUAGAUACCCUAGUAGUCC